rnacentral:tRNA from 1 species
AGGUCUGUCGCCAAGCGGUAAGGCAACGGGUUUUGAUCCCGUCAUGCCUAGGUUCGAAUCCUAGCAGACCUGCCA